GAAAUGCGAUAAGUAAUGUGAAUUGCAGAAUUCAGUGAAUCAUCGAAUCUUUGAACGCACCUUGCGCUCCUUGGUAUUCCGAGGAGCAUGCCUGUUUGAGUGUCAUUAAAUUCUCAACCCCUCUAGCUUUUGCGAGCUGUGAUGGGGCUUGGAUGUUGGGUUUGCGGUCCUUUAUUACUAGAGGUCGGCUCUCCUGAAAUGCAUUAGCGGAACCGUUUGCAGUCCCGUCACUAGUGUGAUAAUUAUCUACACUGUGAUGAUUGCUCUCUGACUAGUUCAGCUGCUAAUCGUCCACUAUCGGACAAUAUUUAAUGAACUUAUUGACCUCAAAUCAGGUAGGACUACCCGCUGAACUUAA
rnacentral:misc_RNA from 1 species